rnacentral:tRNA from 1 species
GUAAAUAUAGUUUAACAAAAACACUAGAUUGUGAAUCUAGUAAUAGAAAUUGAGUUUCUUAUUUACC